rnacentral:rRNA from 1 species
AUUGAACGCUGGCGGCAUGCCUUACACAUGCAAGUCGAACGGUAACAGAUCUUCGGAUGCUGACGAGUGGCGAACGGGUGAGUAAUACAUCGGAACGUGCCUAGUAGUGGGGGAUAACUACUCGAAAGAGUGGCUAAUACCGCAUGAGAUCUACGGAUGAAAGCAGGGGAUCGGAAGACCUUGUGCGACUAAAGCGGCCGAUGGCAGAUUAGGUAGUUGGUGGGAUAAAAGCUUACCAAGCCGACGAUCUGUAGCUGGUCGUGAGAGGACGAUCAGCCAACCUGGGACUGAGACACGGCCCAGACUCCUACGGGGGGCAGCAGUGGGGAAUUUUGGACAAUGGGCGCAAGCCUGAUCCAGCAAUGCCGCGUGCAGGAUGAAGGCCUUCGGGUUGUAAACUGCUUUUGUACGGAACGAAAAGCCCUGGGUUAAUACCCUGGGGUCAUGACGGUACCGUAAGAAUAAGCACCGGCUAACUACGUGCCAGCAGCCGCCGUAACAC